AUGCAUGCUACGAAAUGCGCCCAUGGUUACCGCUAUAAAAUAAACUUCGCGAUAACCCCUUUCCCCUCCUCGCUUCCCCUCCUUAUCCCCUUUCGUCUCCCGCUCCCCCGGUCUCGCGCUGUACGGCGCGCCAUGGCCAUGCCCUCCACUUCUUACUUCUCGCGGCCGCCUAUCGUGCACCCCACCUCCAAAACUCCGAACCCUCCCCGACUGCUGCCGCUCGUCUCCGGGGCUGCUGCCCCUCGCCCGCUGCUGCCCUCCUUCGCUCCGCCCGCGCCCGGUCGCGGGCUCCGGACCGCCGCCGCCCAACAACCCGCCUACGAAAAUGGAGAGGAGGAAGAAGAUGGGGAGGAGGAUGAGGAGUAUUACAGCGAGGAGGAGGAUGAAGAGGAAUUGGACGUGGAGGCGAUGGAGGAAGAGGCGCGCCGCGCCGCCGCCGACCUCGCCGCGCACCUCGACCGCGAGCUCCGCCUCGAUGGUGAUGUUCGGGAGAAAAGAAGAACCAUGAGGGAUAAGACAUCAACAUCUAAACAUAUCCCAGACAGUAAGCUUCCAAAGGUGGCUGUUAUUGGUAGACCUAAUGUGGGUAAAUCUGCACUAUUCAAUCGGCUUGUCGGGGGCAACAGGGCUAUCGUUGUUGAUGAACCUGGUGUAACAAGGGAUCGUUUGUAUGGACGAUCUUAUUGGGGUGAUCAAGAGUUUAUGGUUAUUGAUACUGGGGGUGUGAUUACUCUAUCGAAGUCUCAAGCAGGUGUAAUGGAAGAACUUGCCAUUACAACUACUGUUGGUAUGGAUGGGAUUCCAAUGGCCUCUCGAGAAGCUGCUAUUGCUAGGAUGCCAUCAAUGAUUGAGAAGCAAGCUGUUGCUGCUGUUGAAGAAGCAGCUGUCCUUCUUUUCCUUGUGGAUGGUCAGGCUGGGCUUGUGGCAGCUGAUAUAGAAAUUGCUGAUUGGUUACGUCGCAACUUCUCACACAAGUGCAUCAUACUUGCUGUAAACAAGUGUGAAUCACCACGGAAAGGGCAAAUGCAAGCAUUAGAAUUUUGGUCAUUAGGGUUUACACCUUUACCAAUAUCUGCUAUUACCGGCACUGGAACUGGAGAGCUCCUGGAUAUGGUCUGUUCGGAGCUGAAAAAGUUCGAGGUACUAGAAGAAUUGGAUGAUGUUGAAGAAGACGAAAACCAUGUCCCUGCUAUUUCUAUUGUUGGAAGACCAAAUGUUGGGAAAAGUAGCAUUCUAAAUGCUUUGGUUGGAGAAGAUAGAACUAUUGUGAGCCCAGUUAGUGGUACCACCCGUGAUGCCAUUGAUACUGAGUUAACCAUAAAGGAUGGGCAGAAAUACAAACUCAUCGAUACGGCUGGCAUCCGACGGAGAGCAGCAGUUGCUUCUGCUGGCAGCACAACUGAAACACUUUCAGUAAAACGUGCAUUUAGUGCAAUUCGUCGAUCUGAUGUAGUUGCCCUUGUUAUUGAAGCGAUGGCCUGUGUCUCGGAGCAGGAUUAUAAAAUUGCAGAAAGGAUUGAGAAAGAGGGAAAGGCAUGUGUCAUUGUUGUGAACAAGUGGGAUACAAUCCCAAACAAGAACAAUGAGAGUACUACACAUUAUGAACAGGAUGUAAGAGAGAAGCUUCGUGUACUUGACUGGGCACCUAUUGUUUACUGUUCUGCGAUAAAUGGGAACAGCGUUGAGAAGAUUAUUUCUGCUGCUUCUUUGGUUGAAGAGGAAAGGUCUAGAAGACUUGGCACCUCUAUUCUUAACCAAGUGGUUAGAGAAGCUGUAGCAUUCAAAGCACCACCACGAACAAGAGGCGGCAAAAGAGGCCGUGUUUAUUACACAACACAGGCUGCUGUUCGUCCACCAACAUUUGUUCUCUUCGUCAAUGACGCAAAACUUUUCCCUGAGCCGUAUCGGCGGUACAUGCACAAGCAGCUCCGGUCUGAUGCUGGAUUCCCAGGCACGCCCAUUCGCCUACUGUGGCGUAGCAGGAAGCGGACUGAUAGGCAACAGAGGAGAUCAAAUACGGAAGCUCGCAGUGCGCUUGUAGCGUUGAGUUAG
rnacentral:rRNA from 1 species